AAAAAUGCGGAAGAUCAAUAAAUCCAGGGGUUGUUUUUUUGAAAGAACUAAUUAGGUAGGUAGACUGCUGGCUAGACUAAUAAAAAAAGAGAAAAGAUACAAAUAAACACAAUCAGAAAAUGACAGAGAACAUUACCACUGACCCUACAGAGAUACAAAAACCCUUAGACUACACCUCUAUGCAUGCAAACUAGAAAACUUAGAAGACAUGAAUAAAUUCCUGGAAACAUACAACCUCCUGGGAUUGAACCAGGAAGAAAUUGAAUCCUGAAGAGACCAAUAAUGAGCUCUGAAAUUGAAUCAGUAAUAAAAAGCCUACCAACCAGAAAAAGCCCAGUACCAGAUGAAUUCAGAGUCAGAUUCUACUAGAUGUAUAAAGAAGAGCUAUUAACACUCUUGCUGAAACUAUUCCAAAAAUAGAGGAGAAGGAGCCUCCUCCUUAAUUCCUGAGGCCAGUAUCAUCCUGAUACCAAAAGCUGGCUGAGACACAACAAAAAGAAAACUUCAGGUCAAUAUCCUUGAUAAGCAUAGAUGCAAAAAUCCUCAAAAAAAUACUAGCAAACUGAAUCCAGCGACACAUCGAAAAGCUAAUCUGCCACAAUCAAGCUUUAUCCCUGGGAUGCAAGGUUGGUUCAACAUAUGCAAAUCAAUAAGUGUGAUCUAUCAUAUAAUCAAAACUGAAAGCAAAAAAUGACUUGAUUAUCUCAAUAAAUUCUGAAAAGGCUUUCCAUAAAAUUCAACAUCUCUUCAUGUUAAAAACCCUCAAACUAGGGAUUGAAGGUACAUACUUCAAAAUAAUAAGAGCGAUCUGUGAAAAACCCACAGCUGACAUUAUACUGAAUGGACAAAAGCUGGACACAUUCCCCUUAAACUGGAAUAAGAGAAGGAUGCCCUCUCUUACCACUCCUAUUCAACAUUCUACUGGAAGCUCCACCUUCUUUUAAAUAUGGCUUGAAAAAUUAACUUCUUAUAUUGAACUAUUAGUAAUUUUAUUUUAGAGUGAGUUCACUGUAGAGAUCAGUUAAAUCUCAGUGCUGUCCCAGUGCUGUUCCACACUUAGGUUUUGGACCUAACUGUAUAUAUAGUUUUGAGUAGGGUAAGAUAAAGGGUGUGUGUGCUAAUUACCAUUGCCAGAAGACUUUGCAAGACUUUUUCCUAUGGCUGUGUACUCCUUCAGCUUGAGAAUAACCUUGGUAGAGGAAGUGGCAAAUGGAAGCAGGUGUCCCAUUUCUCAGUGCCAGCACAAGUGCUCUUAAACAUGUGCAAUGCCACUUGAGUCCUGUUGUCCCCAUAAUUCAGAAUCCUGGAGAAGCAACAUAAAAACUGCCAGGUAAUAUUUGUGUUCCUUUUGAGACAUUUGAGUACAUUUAAUAAUCAAAAUUAUAUAGUUAUUUUAAACCAGAAAUGAAAGUAGACUUUUUGGCAGGCCUAUGUGUUCAUAUCUGUGCUGGGUGAUGUUCUUGCCAACAGUAUACUUAGUCGUAUCACUGAGAAAAAUGAUUCAUAAGCUUUUUCAAAUUCAGACCUACGACUUUAUACUUAUAUUCCCGUUAAUAUCGUUCGUAUGGAUGGCUUGAUAUAGUUUUCUAGGAAUCCCUCGUUGUAAGUUGAGAGAAAGGGUAGUGUUGUCACAGUGAGGAAGCAUUUCUUUAGUAGUGUUCAUAUAUUGAGUUGCACACGUUGUAUGAAAUGUAAAGCCUUAGCAGAUGCCUAAAAAUGAUUAUUUAAUGAGGCAUUUAUGUCCCUGGUUUCUCAGGUUGAAAGAUUCUGCUGGACUACUUAGAAACACCAACUUUAUUCAUAGUCUGUUGAGAUCUCUGUUAAAAAACAAAAACAAAAACAGUCCACAGCCACUUCAGGAACUCAUUUGUUCUUUCAGUGAAAAGUCCAUAGUGUUCAGACCCAAAAGUCUACCGAUGAAAGAAUUAAAAAUACUAUUUAUUAAACCUUUAUGCAGAGUGGAUUAGCCUGAGCAUUUGGGAGUGUUGGUUGACCUUAAAUACCCUCUGCCAUGUUUCUUCUUAACCCCCAGUAGUUAACCAAAUGUUCUUUUACUCACUUAUUAUGGAUAUAUUACUGUUUCAAAUUUGAGAAAGUUAGAUUUGUCAGCCUUCGAUAAACUUAUGUAGUGAUACAGGACGUUCAUGUGGAAAUGUCAAGUGAAAUGAUAUAGCAGUGUAAGAAAGAAAAUGUAAACUAUUUACCUGCAUUAAUAAAAUAUUUUAAAUUUGGCCUAGAGCUUUGAACUUUGUGGCUAGAAUCUUGGAAGAUCUUUCUGGAGUACUGGAGAAUUGAUAAAUAUCAGAUUUUGUAGCAGGUGUGAUU